UACGUAGGGGGCUAGCGUUGUCCGGAAUCAUUGGGCGUAAAGAGCGUGUAGGCGGCCCGGUAAGUCCGCUGUAAAAGUCAAAGGCUCAACCUUUGAAUGUCAGUGGAUACUGCCGGGCUAGAGUCCGGAAGAGGCGAGUGGAACUCCUGGUGUAGCGGUGGAAUGCGCAGAUAUCAGGAAGAACACCAACGGCGAAGGCAGCUCGCUGGGACGGUACUGACGCCGAGACGCGAAAGCGUGGGGAGCGAACAGG
rnacentral:rRNA from 1 species